CAAAGUACUAUUGUAUUAGGAUGUAAAGUUUAUAACACAUAACUAUAUCGAUUGAGAAUCGUGUCAAGGCAAGUUACCCAGCAGGUGCCCUGAGGCAAGCGAUGGAAACUGAGGAAUGACCGAUGACCGAGCAGAGCAGACACGCAAAUUUGACAGGGCCCUGCAGGGGAGGGAAGAAUAAUGAGUGUGGCUGCAAUCCCAAAAGUCAGAAAUGUGAGAAGCCAUCC